rnacentral:rRNA from 1 species
CAGUUCGGAUUGAAGGCUGAAAUUCGCCUUCAUGAAGCCGGAAUUGCUAGUAAUGGCAGGUCAGCAUACUGCCGUGAAUACGUUCCCGGGCCUUGUACACACCGCCCGUCACACCAUGAGAGUUGGGAAUACCCGAAGCCUGUGAGCUAACUGUAAAGAGGCAGCAGUCGAAGGUAGAAUCAAUGAUUGGGGUGAAGUCGUAACAAGGUAAC